rnacentral:tRNA from 1 species
CAAAGAAUAGUUUAAGCAGAAUCUUAGCUUUGGGAGUUAAGGGUAGGAGUUAAAAUCUCUUUUCUUUGA